rnacentral:misc_RNA from 1 species
AACGCAUAUGGCACCCGAGACCUCGGUCGAGGGUAUGUCUGCCUCAGAGUCGGCGUACUAUCAUCCCCCGAGGCGGUCGGGCGAACCGACCCCGAGGGGGGAACUGGCCCUCCCGCGCCGCGUGCGCGGGUCGGACGAAGGGGAGAGACGGGUUCACAUGGCCGGCGACCUUCCCGGCUGACCGAGAUUUGUUGGAAGGGCUUUCAGGUCCGACUUUAUCGUCUCGGUACGGGGUAAGGCAAGACCGUGGUGGCCCGCUUUGCAGGAACGUACAAUUUUUUUUUUCCGACCUGAGUUCAGGCAAGAUCACCCGCUGAACUUAA